rnacentral:rRNA from 1 species
UUCGCCCUUUUCCGGUUGAUCCUGCCGGACCUGACUGCUAUCGGAUUGAUACUAAGCCAUGCGAGUCAUUGUAGCAAUACAAGGCAGACGGCUCAGUAACGCGUAGUCAACCUAACCUAUGGACGGGAAUAACCUCGGGAAACUGAGAAUAAUGCCCGAUAGAACACUAUACCUGGAAUGGUUUGUGUUCCAAAUGAUUUAUCGCCGUAGGAUGGGACUGCGGCCUAUCAGUUUGUUGGUGAAGUAAUGGCCCACCAAGACUAUUACAGGUACGGGCUCUGAGAGGAGUAGCCCGGAGAUGGGUACUGAGACACGGACCCAGGCCCUAUGGGGCGCAGCAGGCGAGAAAACUUUGCAAUGUGCGAAAGCACGACAAGGUUAAUCCGAGUGAUUUGUGCUAAACGAAUCUUUUGUUAGUCCUAGAACCACUAACGAAUAAGGGGUGGGCAAGCUCUGGUGUCAGCCGCCGCGGUAAAACCAGCACCUCAAGUGGUCAGGAUGAUUAUUGGGCCUAAAGCAUCCGUAGCCGGCUCUGUAAGUUUUCGGUUAAAUCUGUACGCUUAACGUACAGGCUGCCGGGAAUACUGCAGAGCUAGGGAGUGGGAGAGGUAGACGGUACUCGGUAGGAAGGGGUAAAAUCCUUUGAUCUAUUGAUGACCACCUGUGGCGAAGGCGGUCUACCAGAACACGUCCGACGGUGAGGGAUGAAAGCUGGGGGAGCAAACGGGAUUAGAUACCCGGGUAGUCCCAGCUGUAAACUAUGC